UUGGCUGUUAGUUGUUCGACAUUAGAAAACGCGUUAAAUAGAUAAAACACCUAUAAGAAUAUGAAACUAGUUUAUAUUGCUUGCCUUCUGAUUCACAUGAUUGAUUAUGUCAUGGGAAAUUCAACUAAAAUCUGCAGUCUUCCUAUAAAUCCGGGGCAUUGCAAAGACCUGGUCCCAAGAUUUGGUUACAGACCUAGUAAAAAAGAAUGUAUCAGUUUUAUGUUCGGUGGCUGUAAGGGCAACGCAAAUAAUUUCGAAUCAAUUAUGGACUGCGAAUCCGAAUGCAAGGGAAAAAAGAUGCAAUAAAUUUGUAUUCUGCGCAAACAUAGCUUCCUUGUUAAAAUAUAAUGAAAUAAACUUGCAAAUAAAGAUGACUUAAAAGAUUUAUAAAAAA